rnacentral:rRNA from 1 species
GCUUGUCUCAAAGAUUAAGCCAUGCAUGUCUAAGUAUAAACAAAUCUAUACGUGAAACUGCGAAUGGCUCAUUAUAUCAGUUAUAGUUUAUUUGAUGGUCCUUACUACUUGGAUAACCGUAGUAAUUCUAGAGCUAAUACAUGCACCAAAUCCCGACUUACGAAGGGAUGUAUUUAUUAGAUGGAAACCAAUGCAGGGCAACCUGGAAUAUGGUGAUUCAUAAUAACUUUCGGAUCGACCUCGUGUCGAUGCAUCAUUCAAGUUUCUGCCCUAUCAGCUCUGGAUGGUAGGGUAUUGGCCUACCAUGGCUUUAACGGGUAACGGAGAAUUAGGGUUCGAUUCCGGAGAGGGAGCCUGAGAAAUGGCUACCACAUCCAAGGAAGGCAGCAGG